rnacentral:rRNA from 1 species
UACAGAGGAGCCAAGCGUUGUCCGGAUUGACUGGGCGUAAAGCGCACGCAGGCGGAUGCGCGCGUGGGGUGUGAAAUCUGGCCGCUUAGCGGCCAGGCGCCAUCCCAUACGGCGCGUCUGGAGUGAUGCAGAGGUCGAUGGAAUUGCCGGUGUAGUGGUGAAAUGCGUAGAGAUCGGCAGGAACACCCAGGGGGAAACCAGUCGACUGGGCAUCUACUGACGCUGAGGUGCGAGAGCGUGGGGAGCGAACCGG